ACUAGCCAUUUAUACCUUUCAUAAUCUGUAAACAUGCAUGGAUAAAUGAGCAUUAGAUAUGGGCUGGGAGAUGAAUAAUAUGGAUGAAUUAUGACUCAUAGGAUCAGAUCUGUCUGAAUCACUGACUCAAUCAUACAAAAGCUCUUCCUCUGUCAGUCAUUCAGUCAGACAGACAGAGACUCUGAGAGAGUUUGUGCAGCAUCAGCCUCGAGAAGAACAGCAGCACAGCUCAAACUAGACAUGCAUCCCAUGUUGAUCGGCAUAGUGGCAGCCAACACAAGUUUAACUAUUUUCUACUGGAACUUUCUUCUGUCUCAGGUUUUCUGCAAGAAGAUCAAAGAUGCACCAGAACCUGAGGAAAUUCCAGUCUGAGUGGAGGGCUUGGCCGUGAUCCUGACGAUGAAGAGGAAGAAGAACCACCAAAACUGAUCUUUGGGAAGGAAGAAGGGAUGAGGGAGAGAAAAUAAUAUCAAGGAACAGACUGCCAUUUGACCCAGAAGUGGAUGGAUAGAAAUUCUGCCAGGAUUUAAGUCUUCUGUAUAUGAAAAAUCAUGGGGUUAAAAAGGUGUCACUGAAAAGAUUUAUGAACAGCCCUCUCUCUCUCUUUCAUCCAUUAGUCCAUCUUCACAAGCCCAAAUCUCUUGCUCAACCACUAACCCCCCCCCACCCCCAAAAAAAUCAGUCUUUCUUUGUAAAUACUGCUCAUUUCCACUUGUUGUAAAUUACUAGAAAAUCCAAAGCUUAGGCUAUGUGUUUUAAGUCUGUAUUUUUUACGUUGCUGUUUUUUGCACUAUUUUUAUCUAAAUAGCUAAAAAAAAAGUUUUGUGAAUAUCUAUCUGUCUUACAUUGUGUCUCAUUUCCUCAAUAAUAAAUGAAAACAACAUAGAGCACUGCUUUGUUUACAUGGCAAUUGUUAUCCGGAUUAGCAUGAUUAGCAUGUGCUGGCUCGCUCCUGCAGGACGUUCAGCACAGACAGAGGGUGCUGUGUGCUCAACAUAGAGGACAUAAUUCUGUUCUCCAAAGUCAAUGAAUGUACCAACCUUAUUUAAGAUACACACAGUUUAUACAUCCUUUUUAAUAUCAUCCUACAUUAAGUUGUUGCUACAUGACCGAACCAUUAGAAAUACUUUGGUUGGUGUAAUGUAAUGAAGUCAGGACAUUCAGACCAGGAUAUUCAAGGAGUCAGAUUUAGUUUGAUUUCACAGAACACCAUUUAGAAUUUAUCAAGACUGUAGUUCAUGUCCUGAACUCAAUGCCUUGACCAAGUUACAGUUGUUUUCAUUGACGUCAUUGGUUACAUUGCCCUUUAAAAAAUGCCAACAGGUGUUGAGACGUAGACACCUAAUAGAAAAAAAGGCUAAAUCCAGGCUCAAGGCUUCUCCUUACGAAACUAAGCACAUUAGCUUGAUUGUCUUCUGCUGUCAAAGUAUCAGGUCUGAGGGAAGCCCUAUCACAGAAACAUUUUAGGACUAUCAUUCUGUGGAAACUUUCUUGUGAUGCUGUGAAUAUGCAACAAAAAGGAAGAUGACUGAUGAGCAUUCAGCAUCAGAAAGAGAGAAAGAGAGGAGGAGGGCGAGAUAGAAAGCUAGAAGAUGAUGGGUAAUCUCAAUGAGGGAAAAAAGCUUUGUUGGAUCAACAGAAAAUGAAUGAAAACUGAUGAGCUGAUGUUAAACUGAAACACAGUGGAGCAAACAACAGUACUAAUGGAUUUAGGCAAAAACAAUGAAAGUCUUGAUGAGGAAUUUUUCAAGGACUACAAACCCACUGAAAAUGAUCCGCUCACUCCACCCAAGCAUAUCAUUUAUCUGCUGCUUGCUGUGAGCGUGACAGGAGUCACCCUUUACGCCAUCAUAAGACACCUCAUCCAAGAUCUCAUCCAUGAUCUGGCAGAUUUCCUGUUUGGAGAGCAGCCUGUGGAAGAGCCGGAGACUCUCUGGGAAAGGCGGGAUAAGUUUAGGGCAGACUGGAUUCCAGAGGCAAUGCCUGAGCUGGAGGCCAUGGUGAGAGAUGAGGAUAGACAAGAACUCAUGGAGGGCACUGAAGACUUGCCAGCCAUUUGGGUUAUAUCGGACAAGUCCCAGCCUCGUGCUCCUUCCUCCAUUCAAAUACAUGUUAGCGGCAGCUAGCAUAAAAUAAGUCCAAGACUCUUCUCCUCUGAAUACUUACACCAAUAUUUUUUAAAGCUAACACCCAAGAAUCCAUUGUGUCAACUAUAUGCACACAGCUUGUUCUUCCUUUUCUUCUAAAAGACCUCAUGAAAUGAAGAUUACUAAGAAAAUGGCAUAGUCUAUUUACAGUACUUCUGAAACAGGAAGUUGGAAUGUAUCAAAUGGAAGAUGAAUUGAAGUCAGUUUGCUAGUCAGCAGCAUGUGGUCUUAGAGGACAGGAAAUGAUCCUUCCAGAGAGAAUCUGAUUGGACAAAAAAUGUCAUCCAUCUAGUGCAAGAUGCGUCGUGGUUAUUUUUCUCUGUUUUCCCCAGAAAAGAAAGAUUGUCUUUUUGUUUAAUGUGUAUUUCUGCUCAAAGUGAAUUCUGUCAACAUUUGCGAAAGCAGUUGGAUAGAGAUCAUCUCAGAGCAAACACAGAUUGGUGUUUUUAUUUUUUAUGAUUUUUUGUUUGUUUGUUUUUGACAUACUGUUGCACUAUAUCUAUGCACAAAAUCAAUUCAAUAGACAAUUUUGUGUCUACGAGCCCUUACAUAAGUAAAAAAAAAAAAAACAGGCUUCUGUUCUGUGCCAGCUUGGAAAGUAAAUCUUUUGUCUUUACAACAUAAUAGUGGGAGAUUAUCUAACAAUCAUGAACACUUACUCUCUGAGUGACAUGCUGUGAUCUGUGACCUCUCUAAUGGAUUUUGUACUUUGGACACCAAGAAUCCUUCACAUAUUUAUAGACGACCGAGAGGAACGCAGCAGUGCAUGCCGACUCUAAAUUCAUCAUCA